UACGGAGGGUGCAAGCGUUAUCCGGAUUCACUGGGUUUAAAGGGCGCGCAGGCGGGCUUGUAAGUCAGUGGUGAAAUCCCCGUGCUUAACAUGGGAACUGCCAUUGAUACUAUAGGUCUUGAAUAUCGUUGAGGUUUGCGGAAUGGGUCAUGUAGCGGUGAAAUGCAUAGAUAUGACCCGGAACACCUAUUGCGAAGGCAGCAGGCUAAGCGAAGAUUGACGCUGAGGCUCGAAAGCGUGGGGAUCAAACAGG
rnacentral:rRNA from 1 species